CGUAGGUGGCAAGCGUUGUCCGGAUUUAUUGGGUUUAAAGGGUGCGUAGGCGGUUCCAUAAGUCAGUGGUGAAAUACGGCAGCUUAACUGUCGAGGUGCCAUUGAUACUGUGGAACUUGAGUACAGACGAGGUAGGCGGAAUUGACGGUGUAGCGGUGAAAUGCUUAGAUAUCGUCAAGAACACCGAUAGCGAAGGCAGCUUACUAGACUGUAACUGACGCUGAGGCACGAAAGUGUGGGGGAUCAAACAGGAUU
rnacentral:rRNA from 1 species